rnacentral:rRNA from 1 species
AGAGUUUGAUCCUGGCUCAGGACGAACGCUGGCGGCGCGCCUAACACAUGCAAGUCGAACGGGAACUGUCCGGAGCUUGCUUCGGACAGUUUCAGUGGCGGACGGGUGAGUAACGCGUGAGGAACCUGCCUUUCAGAGGGGGAUAACGUCCGGAAACGGACGCUAAUACCGCAUGACAUCCCGGGAUCACAUGGUUCUGGGAUCAAAGGAGCAAUCCGCUGGAAGAUGGACUCGCGUCCGAUUAGCCAGUUGGUGAGGUAACGGCCCACCAAAGCUGCGAUCGGUAGCCGGACUGAGAGGUUGAACGGCCACAUUGGGACUGAGACACGGCCCAGACUCCUACGGGAGGCAGCAGUGGGGGAUCUUGCACAAUGGAGGGAACUCUGAUGCAGCGACGCCGCGUGAGGGAAGACGGUUUUCGGAUUGUAAACCUCUGUCCCCGGUGACGAUAAUGACGGUAGCCGAGGAGGAAGCUCCGGCUAACUACGUGCCAGCAGCCGCGGUAAUACGUAGGGAGCGAGCGUUGUCCGGAUUUACUGGGUGUAAAGGGUGCGUAGGCGGCUGAACAAGUCAGGUGUGAAAACCAUCGGCUCAACUGAUGGAUUGCACUUUGAAACUGUGCAGCUUGAGUGAAGCAGAGGCAGGCGGAAUUCCCGGUGUAGCGGUGAAAUGCGUAGAGAUCGGGAGGAACACCAGUGGCGAAGGCGGCCUGCUGGGCUUUAACUGACGCU